rnacentral:rRNA from 1 species
CGACGAUGCAUAGCCGAGUUGAGAGACUGAUCGGCCACAUUGGGACUGAGACACGGCCCAAACUCCUACGGGAGGCAGCAGUAGGGAAUCUUCCACAAUGGACGCAAGUCUGAUGGAGCAACGCCGCGUGAGUGAAGAAGGUUUUCGGAUCGUAAAGCUCUGUUGUUGGUGAAGAAGGAUAGAGGUAGUAACUGGCCUUUAUUUGACGGUAAUCAACCAGAAAGUCACGGCUAACUACGUGCCAGCAGCCGCGGUAAUACGUAGGUGGCAAGCGUUGUCCGGAUUUAUUGGGCGUAAAGCGAGCGCAGGCGGAAAAAUAAGUCUAAUGUGAAAGCCCUCGGCUUAACCGAGGAACUGCAUCGGAAACUGUUUUUCUUGAGUGCAGAAGAGGAGAGUGGACUCCAUGUGUAGCGGUGGAAUGCGUAGAUAUAUGGAAGAACACCAGUGGCGAAGGCGGCUCUCUGGUCUGCAACU